CGGGCGGGGAGGGCCCUGGCCUGCCCCGGCUGCUCCCAAUCGAGGGAGCUGAUGAGUGAAGCGGUUCCUCCAAGACCCGUGGGGUCGCCCCGGGGCACGCAGGCCUUGGGCCGUGUGAAGGAUGCGGUAACCCACGGCAGGUCUCACGGGGAACCCCCUCGGAGAAACUCUCCAACUGUGGGGAGGGUUUUUUUUUAGGAGGCCAGAAUGAAUUACUGUAAUGCUCUUCCAUGCCCAGGAUUGACCUGGGAGAGGCGUAUCUUGGCUCAAGUCCACCUGGGUAAGGAAGGACCUGAUGGGAAACCCUGCAGACGAGCUGCAGGCAGAGCUUAAUUCAUUAGGAUUUAAAUUUGGUCUUAAAGAUAGGCGUAUGCUUGGCUGCCCUGCUGAGCUGGUAUCUCUUGCAGCUGCCAGGCUGUUAACUCUGCCUGCGGCAGUGUUUAAAAAUCAUCACAUAUUUGGCUAUGAAUUUGGGUAUUUUCUGACAGGGUUUGGAAAGACAUACUUCACUCAAAGAUGGGGUAAACUAAACACUGUGUUUAGUUCAGGGGCAGGUAUUGCUAGUCUUAGUAGAGUUUGGGUUACCAAACAUCCCACAGACAACACCAGGGGAAAGGCGCUCUGCGAGCCACAAAGCACAGGUCUCAUGCAGCGCUGCAGCUCCCCUGCACAUGGGACCUCAUCCUGUUGCCAGGACCCACCCUGCCCUUGGUGUGGGGUUGGUGUAACCUGGUGUAUGAGGGGCAUCUGUCCCUUCAUGGCACAGCACAGCCCACACACUCUGGGGCUGCAGAGACACAGGAGUCCAGGAUGUCCAUGGAGACACGUCCCAGCAUGGAGGUGCCAUCCCAGGGCACAGCACCAAGCACAUCCCACAGAGCUCCUGGAAUCACACCUGCAGGCAGUUUUGACAUGGCUCCAUGUGACACAUGAGACUCCAGUGCACAGGUGGCUGCAGCUUGUGCCUCUGGAAUAUGCAGUUGCAAAACAGAGGAGCCAAAUGAACUCAGUACAGCAAAUUCCAGUUCUAAGUUUCCUUUUAGGUCUCAAGGAUACUAUUCCUGUGAGCUGGCAGAGCAAACAGGCUGACUCAGCCAACUGAAUGAAGUAAAAGACUGUAUCAAAAAAUGCAAUGAGUCAAAAGGAAGAGUGGACCAUCAGUAACAAGUCGGACAGGCGGAGAUUGCUGCACACCAGCCUCAUGUUAACAGAGAGCUUACACCACCGACGUGAGUCAGUGAGUACUGUUUCUAGCCAUCCCUGGGUUUGGAGAUCACAGAGUAGAGUUGUGAAGUUUGGAAACAGCAGAAGGGCAAAUUCAGGAAGGAGCAAUUGAGUAACCACUGAGACAGAGAAGCAUAGCAGAAAAAAUUUCUUCUCCAGCAUCCCAAACAGAGAGGGUGAGUGCCUUCUGAAGUGGUAAGAGCUAAUCAGAACUUGUCACAGAAAUGUGACUGAGGGGAAGAAUUUGCUUUGAGAAAGAAGAGAGUUGAUAACUGAGACAAAACUGGGUAUGUGCAUGAUGCCAGCUAUGCAGGGAGUCUUAAUGGAAAGUCUUGAGGUGGCUGUAGUCAGAAAUAAGCCUAAGCCUUUGACUUCUACAUUUGCUAUGCAGAAACAAAAUAAGCAGUGGCUCAGCCAUUGGACUCCGUUAACAGCAGGCAGGCUACUCCGAGAGGGAACAGUCUAUGUUCUCCAGGUGCCUUUCCUCUUCCUCAUCUGCAGUCUCCAG
rnacentral:lncRNA from 1 species